rnacentral:rRNA from 1 species
CCUACGGGUGGCAGCAGUGGGGAAUAUUGCUCAAUGGGGGAAACCCUGAUGCAGCGACGCCGCGUGAAUGAUGAAGUAAUUAGGGAUGUAAAGCUCUUUUAGUAGAGAAGAAAAUGACGGUACCUGAGUAAGAAGCCCCGGCUAACUACGUGCCAGCAGCCGCGGUAAUACGUAGGGGGCAAGCGUUAUCCGGAUUUACUGGGUGUAAAGGGGGCGUAGACGGCGGUGUAAGUCUGGAGUGAAAGGCGGGGGCUCAACCCCAGGACUGCACUGGAAACUGUAAGGCUGGAGUGCAGGAGAGGUAGGUGGAAUUCCUGGUGUAGCGGUGAAAUGCGUAGAUAUUAGGAGGAACACCAGUGGCGAAGGCGGCUUACUGGACUGUAACUGACGUUGAGGCUCGAAAGCGUGGGGAGCAAACAGGAUUAGAUACCCCAGUAGUC